GCAGAGCGGUCCGUACGCCUGGAGACUUUGGGUCCGGGUCUUGCUCAUCCUCCCGUCAAGCACUGCGAAUGCUGGACUUAACGAGACCGAGUUCCAGCGCAGGUCGCGGCCUAGACUCGAUCCUUCUUUAGCCGGCUACGCAGCAGAGAAGUGUGCGCAGUGGCUGCUUGCAACUGCGGCGCUUUUCAGAGUGGAGUUUCUAGCAUUAGACUGUGGAUUAAGGAUGUCCACCUCGCCUGCUCGCUCCUCCUGGGGCUGCUGUGCACUAAUUACUCAUCAGAUCCUGCUUGAUGCACAUAUCAAGCCUACAAAUGGGAGCCAAGAGACACUCUGACUGGGGAUUUCGCAAUUCCUGAAACCUUUAAAAUAGCAUUCUCAUAAAACUUGAGUGGAUGACCUGAGGUGUGAACAUGUUUGUAUCAAGAUGCGUAUACUCGUGACUGCGUCUUCUGCAAAUCCAACAGGCCUUUGUUGUUACGGGUUGUUUCAAUGAAUUGCCUAAACUGUAGCCUAUAGCGUCCAAGGUGCCUGGUUUUCUAGGGAGAGGGCUCAGGUGCCACGCCUGGGCUGGUGGUCCUGAGUUCUAAGAUGGCCGACUGAGUUAGCCAGGAGAAACAAGACAGUAAACAAGACCCUCCGUGGCCUCUGCAUCAGCUCCUGGCCCUGGUUCCUGUCCUGACUUCAUUAAAUGUGGAUAUAUAUGCCAAAUAAA
rnacentral:lncRNA from 1 species